rnacentral:lncRNA from 1 species
UGUCCUGGUCCAGUGCUGAACCCCUCCUCUGUUAUGUCUGUCCUGGUCCAGUGCUGAACCCCUCCUCUGUUAUGUCUGUCCUGGUCCAGUGCUGAACCCCUCCUCUGUUAUGUCUGUCCUGGUCCAGUGCUGAACCCCUCCUCUGCUAUGUCUGUCCUGGUCCAGGCCCAAACCUGAGGUGAGUUUGAGUCUAUCCCUGGGCAGGGUCUUACUGCAGAACACAGUACUAGCAGACCAGUUAGGCACCUCCUUCACUACAGUGGCUCCUCUCUGCUGCUGGUAUCUGAGACUGAACUUGAAGACGAUGAUUCCCCAGUGAGGCUGCGUUCACAGCCAGGAGAGUUCCUAAGUGUUGCUAAAUGUUCUGCUGUGUUGCACACGCUCUCUCACCCCUCCAACCUGCUCCCCAACCCAAACCUUGUGUCCACACUUCUCAAGAACUGUCUCUCUGCCUUCAAGCAAAAAAACAAUGGUUUGGUUUUCACUUUGCUAACCAAGGUGGGGUUGAAACAUCCAGCUAACCUGAUGCUAGCUGGUUUCAGCUCAGACCAGGGCCGUAUUCAUUAGGCACCAAACUGAAGAAAACGGGAGAGGGACUAGCUGAGCCAUCUCGAAAAACAAACUUGUUUUCCUUUUCCACUGCAAAACGUUUUGCUUCGGUGUUCCCUGAUGAACGUGACCCAGCUCUAUGGGAUGUGAAAUGCUAAAACACUGAACAGAAGAAUUGGCUAAUGUUUCACUAACCAAAGCUACGUUUAACCUGGUCCCAGAUCUGUUCGUGCUCAUGCCAACUUCAUUGCUAUUAGUCAUGCCAAUUAUUUUUGGCAUGACUAUGAGUGACAAGGAGUUGUCAUGGUGACACAAACAGACUGGCAUUCAGGCUAAGCUAUGUCCUAUUUAUAGAGUUCUCAGCCUUGUAUCUGUCCCAUUAUGGUGUCAGUGACAGCAUGGGCAGCACCACUGAGGCCAUCACCAUUUUAAAGUAGUACAUUUUCUAAUUCUUUUGAUGUUUGAAAAGGUGUAUCGCUCAUAUUAGUGAUUUACCGCCACCUGCAUUGUCUGGGGUCUUGAACCAAAUCUUGUAAUUAAUUAAUUUAUUGUGGCCACUAGAAGGCAGUGAUGUAGCUUAAAGCCAUUUAUAAACUAAGCAAACCAAUUUUGAAGAAGACAAUGCUCUGAUCAUUGACUGAUCACUCCCAACUCAUAGGAAGCACUGUCCAGUUCACUACUUUAAAAUGGUGGAAGCGCUCAGUGGCAAAGCUCAUGCAAAUCGUGUUAUUUCCAAGUAAUGAUCUCUAUACAUCUCUAUGGUCCUGUCCCAGUUCAUGUAGAUCAGUGAACAACAUGAUUGUGGGUCGAACAAAGCAAGAAAUCAGCCUUUGUAUUAACACAUUGAUUUACAGGGAAUCCUUCAAUUAUGCAACUUAGCCGGUAAAAUAUAAAUAGUUUUAGUACCGAUGCGUUAGAACCAGAUGAGCAUUUUGUGAACAGUAAAAGGGAAAAUGCAUUGCAGUCUAUUUGCUUUAAUUGUUUUGUUCUCACGCUGCUUGCAAGGUUUAUAGCGAACUGAUUUAUCUGUCAAACUAUUUUGACUUUUUAAAAUGUGUGAAAUGUCAAACUUUUGAUGGAUUUUGCAAUAGACCAUUUGAUGAGCACAGACUAAGUGAAACACCUCUUUUCACACACACUUCCUUCUCGGUUCUUCUUCUCUAUGAUGAAGAUUCAGUUUGUUUCUCUGUUGGUGAAGGGUGUUGUUGGUUUACUCUGCACAAACAAGGACUUACUGUCUUCUGCCUUCUCCCCUGACACCAAUAACACAAUGUGUAUAAACAUGACCUUAAACAAACCUCCUUCUCUGGCUCUCUCCUGAUGUAUUUUAUAUAGAUACUGGUAUGUGUAUAUACUGUAUAUAUAGUAGUUUGUUGCUUUGUAAAUCAAUGUAGGUGGAAUGUACAACAUGUGAAGAUGUCC